AUUAUUAAAAAUUUAGACGAAGGUAUACUAGUUUUGUAAUCCCAUUAUUAAUAGUCUAUAGAAUGGUAACGGGCUAACGGCGAUGGUGAUAAACGGAAGAGAAGAGAGAGAGCUAGGGUUGGAGAAAGAGACAAAAGAGAGGGACUACGGAAUGCAGAGGAAAGCUUCGGCGGUGUUCAUAGGGUCGUAGAAAGGAGAAAAAAAACAGAGAGAAACGACGGAAGGCAGAGGAAAGCUUCGGCGGUGCUCAUAAGAAACCCAUGGAGAAGUCUAGAGUCGGAGAUGUUGUCGGAGAAAGGAGAAAAAAACAGAGAGAGAAGACGGAAUGCAGAGGAAAGCUUCGGCGGUGCUCAGCUCAUAAGAACCAUGGAGAAAUCUAGCGUCGGAGAGAAAUACAAACACACAACAGAGAGAGAGAGAAAGAGAGAGCUUACAUUGUGAGAUCAGAGCGAGAGCUUCCAUCCAGAGAGAGAGAGUGAGAGCUUAUAUAGAUGGUUUUCCGAAUAUAUAGUGUGUGAGAACGAAGAACCAUCUUUUGUUUU
rnacentral:sRNA from 1 species